AUAUCAAUAAGCGGAGGAAAAGAAACCAACAGGGAUUGCCCUAGUAACGGCGAGUGAAGCGGCAACAGCUCAAAUUUGAAAUCUGGCCCUCGGGUCCGAGUUGUAAUUUGUAGAGGAUGCUUUGGGUGCGGUGCCUUCCGAGUUCCUUGGAACAGGACGCCUUAGAGGGUGAGAGCCCCGUACGGUUGGACACCAAGCCUAUGUAAAGCUCCUUCGACGAGUCGAGUAGUUUGGGAAUGCUGCUCUAAAUGGGAGGUAAAUUUCUUCUAAAGCUAAAUACCGGCCAGAGACCGAUAGCGCACAAGUAGAGUGAUCGAAAGAUGAAAAGUACUUUGAAAAGAGGGUUAAAUAGCACGUGAAAUUGUUGAAAGGGAAGCGUUUAUGACCAGACCUCUGCCUGGCGGAUCAUCCGGUGUUCUUCACCGGUGCACUUCGCCUGGCUCAGGCCAGCAUCGAUUUCUGCAGGGGGAUAAAGGCCGUGGGAAUGUAGCUCCCUUCGGGGAGUGUUAUAGCCCUAGGCGUAAUACCUCUGCGGGGAUCGAGGUUCGCGCUUCUGCAAGGAUGCUGGCGUAAUGGUCAUCAACGA
rnacentral:rRNA from 1 species